ACAGCCAGUCAGAAGCCGGAAGGGUCUCACUCAACUCAUCCCCAAGCAGUCCUCGGGGAGCACCACGGUGAGCUGUGAGGAGCCAGCCCAGCACGGCACACACAACGAACAGAGAAGGAGCUUCUACUGCUUAACCAGAUGUAGAAACUGACGCACGCACAGAGAGGUCACGUGUGAUAUGGUUUGGACGUUGUCCCCUCCAAAUCUCAUGCUGAAAUGUGAUCCCUGAUGUUGGAGGUAAGGCCUGGGGGGGGUGGGGCUUGGGUCAUGGGGGUGGAUCCCUCAUGGAUGGUUUGGUGCCCUCCCCACGGUCACAAAGUCCGGGAGAUCUGAUUGCUAUAGAGUCUGGGAGGGCUGGGUGAGGUGGCUCACACCUGUAAUCCCAGCACUUUGGGAGGCCAAGGUGGGUGGAUCACAAGGUUAGGAGUUUGGGACCAGCCCGACCAACAUGGUGAAACCCCAUCUCUAGUAAAAAUACAAAAAAAUUAGCCGGGCGCGGUGGCAUGCGCCUGUAAUCCCAGCUACUCAGGAGGCUGAGGUUGCAGUGAGCCGAGGAUUGUGCCACUGCACUCCAGCCUGGCUGACACAGCGAGACUCCAUUUCAAAAAAAAAAAGAGUCUGGGAGUUCUCUCUCUCGCCAUGUGACGUGCCAGCUCCCCCUUCACCUUCUACCAUGAGGAAAAGCUUCCUGGGGCCUCCCCAGAAGCCAAGCAGAUGCUGGCACCACUUGUACAGCCUGCAGAACCGUGAGUCAAAUAACCCCCCAGCCUCGGCUAUUCCUUAUAGCAACUCAAAAUGGACGAACACAAUGUAUUAGUUUCUCUUUCUGGACCCCACAGUGUGCCUGGCUGGGGCUGUGCUCUGGGGAAAUGGCAACUGCGAGGUCCUCACAGACCGGGCCCGGGUCUUAACCACAGCCGCAUCUCAGCGCCUUGAUAUUGCUGAGUGGAUGCCCAAAAAGCACUGCUGGGUGAAUGUGCGAGUGAAUGAUGAAGAUGGAGGUGGCUGUUGGUGCCAGGGCAAGGCCCCAGGAGUCUGGGGAGGUGGCACCAGGCAGUUCAGGUCAACGGCUAACCCUGGACAGGGCCAGGAGGCAGCCAGAAUGGUUAAGGACAGCUAAGGGACUUUAGGCAAGUGGUCUCACUCUUCCCAGGCGGGCAGGAAGCAGGAAUCAGACCAAGGGGUGCCAGGUGGUAGUGGCACUCAGGGGGCCUGAGGAGCAGGUGCAGGCUCAGCAGGGCUGGUGGUGCCACGUGUGGGGCCGACCGUGGCCCCGUUCACUGCCUCCACCUCCUGGACGCAUGGGCCCAUGGCCCCCAAGGCCCUCCUCUGUCCCCACGCCCACCUUUCCAGGCUCCACUUCCAGACGCCAAGCCAUUUUCUCACUCCCAUCUCUCCCGUUGCCCCUAUAUCUGAGCUGACCUCCUCCCUGAGCUCUGGUGAAAUUCUAGAGAGCCCAGAGGUGCAGCUCACACUCCUGCGCCACAAGGCCUUUGCAGUCUCCACCUUCCUGGGACACUCCAUCUUAGAGCUGGGUGUGUACUUAUCUCACUGGAUCAGAAACUUCAGGAAUGCCCAUCUUGCAUGCUCCUGCUCCCCACUUCCCGCCCGCCACUCAGCCCGUGGCUGCCAUGUGGUUGGGCCUUGGCAGCCACCGCAGCUGGUAACACACAAUUAGCACUUCUGUGUCCAGGUUCCGUGCUGAGCCUCUUCAGUUUCAUCCCCGUUUGUCCUCAAAAUGGUCCCUGACAUGGUAACCAUCAUUAUCCAUUUUUCAGACAAAAGACCAUAGCUCUAGGAGAGGAGGAAUGGCAGGUCUGAGGCCACGUGGUUCGUAACAGGCAAAUGGACCCGGCAGUCACUCUACCCUCGAGUGGGGCUCCUCCCUGUCUGCAGACCUCGCUGAGGUUUUAGAGCCUGGAGCCAGUGAGUCUCCACUGAGCACAAGGACAGCGGCGGUGCCGGGGCUGGAACAAGGCAGGGAGGGGCCUCCCAAAUCACAGUCCUGGCUGUGGACCCACCUUGGGACCCCGCCCUGGCUGGGAACCUUGCUCCAGCCCACCCGGGACACCUUCCCACCCUGAGUCCUGCACUGGGCUGUGCACGGGGUCUGCUGAAUGAGUGAGGGCAGGAGGGAUGGUGAGCAGGGUGGAAAGCGACUAUGGUGGGUAGGCUUCUGCUGGAAGCUUGAAACAUUCCUGGCGAGCAGGAAAAUACCAGGGGAAGAGGUUACAGCCCUCAGAAGGGCUCGCUGGGGACUGUCCUGCAGCCCUCUCAUCGGGACAGGCAGAAAAUCCAGCCCCCCUUCAGGGUGAGUCCAGGAAGCCUGUGGGGGCACAGGCUCUAGCUAGGGUGGCGCGUGGGUUUACCCAGGGGACGCUGCCGUGGCCCAGAGUUAGGUUAAACCUCAUGUAUUCUGUAAAUAAUUAUUUAUAAUAAACAAGGCUUAUUCACCCUCUAAGAAGAGUAAAACAUUACAGGAGGCACUUUCUCACCAACUAAACACGUCAUAGUGACUUCACUGCGUCACUGAGGGAGGGCACCAGGGUGCCCGGUCCAGAGUAAACUGUGGCCAGGGGGACGGGCACACUGCCAAAUCGGCCAGACCUCCACCCCUGAAAAUGUGGGCUAAAUUCUCUUCAACAAGUUACAAGGAAAUUCAGUGUGAACCCCAUGUUUCCACCACUAUCGGCUGUUCUGGAAGACUGGGAGGAGGGGUCUUGCCUUUUCUCCACUCUUGGUCACAGGGUUUGAGGCCACAACUUGGACUGGGACCCCAAUCUCCUUCCUGGGGAAGAGGCUCAUUCAGGGUGUCUGCCAAGGCCCAGCGCAUAAACACGGAACUCGCUUAACGUCUGCUCCGGCACCUCUGGGCCUCCCACACUGGGUUCCCCUAUCUGACCCCUCAAGCAGUGAGAGUGAUGGGACAUGGGGCGCCUCUAGGGGAGACUUGGGGAGAUGGAGCAAGCUUCCCAGCCCAAGGUGAGGUCCCGAGGCAUGGUCCAUGCAGUGAUGCUUCUCACGGGAGGCCUGAGGCAUGACCAGGAGCUUGGAGACUCAGCAGAGGUCUGGGCAUGGGACUCUCGGUACGCAGCCAGAGCGAGGGCCGAGGCUGUAUGGAUGCAAGCAGGUGACCCUGUGCCAUCGGGUGCCAUCUGUGCCGGGCCCUGUGCAGCCGUCCCCAUCUCACUGAGCUUCAGGGAGGUGAGGCAACCAUCCCAGGCACACAGCCCCGGGGGCAAAGGCUGGACCCAGGUGUGUCUGAUUCCAGAAUUCAAGAAGACAAGUAGAGGAGUCUGAGUCCCCUGAGACCGCAGUGAUGGCUUAGUGCCUCAGGAUGGCCAGGCUGGCUCCUGCAGCUUUAGUCAACCGUGCCCUCCUUCAGUCAUCCAGGGUCCCAGCGCUGGUCCCUGAGACCUGGUACUGGCCAUAGGGGCCCAUCUCUGGCUGUGGACAUCUAGUGCUGGUCACUGGGAUCUGGUAUUGGCCGUGGGGACUUGUCCUUGGCUGUGGGGACCCAGCGCUGGUCCCUGAGACCUGGUACUGGCCAUGGGGACCCGUCCCUGGCUGUGGGUACCCGGUGCUGGUCCCUGAGAUCUGGUACUGGCCAUGGGGGCCCGUCCCUGGCUGUGGGUACCCGGUGCUGGUCCCUGAGACCUGGUACUGGCCAUGGAGGCCUGUCCCUGGCUGUGGGUACCCGGUGCUGGUCCCUGAGAUCUGGUACUGGCCGUGGGGGCCCAUCCCUGGCUGCAGGGACUCAGUAUUGUCUAUGGGGUCUGUCCCUGGCUUC